GACAGAGGUGCCAAGCGUUAGGCGGAAUCACUGGGCUUAAAGCGUGUGUAGGCGGAUUCCUAAGUACCUUGUGAAAUCCCACGGCUCAACCGUGGAACUGCUCGGUAUACUGGGUAUCUUGAGCCACUUAGGGGCGACCGGAACAAAUGGUGGAGCGGUGAAAUGCGCAGAUAUCGCCUGGAACGCCGAAGGUGAAAACAGUCUGCUGGGGGUGUGCCGACGCUGAGACACGAAAGCCAGGGGAGCGAACGGG
rnacentral:rRNA from 1 species